AUAAGCCAUGCAAGUUGAAUGGGAUACCUAAAUUUUCCAUAGCAAACUGCUCAGUAACACAUGAUCAACUUGCCCUAUGGAGAAAAAUAACCUCGGGAAACUGAGGAUAAUAUUUCAUAGUUGAAUAGGCUUGGAAAAGUUUUUCAAUGAAAAGGAAAAGAUAAAUGGAUCUUUUCUGCCAUAGGAUAGGAUCGUGGUCGAUUAUGGUAGUUGGUGAGGUAAUGGCUCACCAAGCCGAUAAUCGAUAGGGGCCGUGAGAGCGGGAGCCCCGAGAUGGGUACUGAGACACCGACCCAAACCUUACGAGGUGCAGCAGGCGCGAGACCUCCGCAAUACACGAAAGUGUGACGGGGUUACCCAAAGUGUUCAUUUUUGAACUGUGGUAGGUGAGUAAUGUUCCCUACUAGAAAGGAGAGGGUAAGGCUGGUGCCAGCCGCCGCGGUAAAACCAGCUCUUCAAGUGGUCGGGAUGAUUAUUGGGCUUAAAGUGUCCGUAGCCGGUUUAGUAAGUUCCUGGUAAAAUCAGGUAGCUUAACUAUCUGUAUGCUANGAAUACUACUAUACUAGAGGGCGGGAGAGGUCUGAGGUACUACAGGGGUAGGGGUGAAAUCUUAUAUCCUUG
rnacentral:rRNA from 1 species